AGAGGAUGCUGUUUGACAUCCAGAAAUUCUACAAUGUGGUGAUUGAGGAGUUGCCCUCCAACGUUGCUGAUCUCAUCUGAGGGGUUUCUGCUGAAGUGGUAUUUAGGCUUGUGCGCGUUUGGUUUGCUUUAUCUUUAUUGAACUUUUCUCUUGACUAUAUUGCAUAGCAAGGGUUGUCAUUAUUUACUAUCAUGGAGUUUUUGUCUAGGUAUGGUUUGUGCCCUGGUAACCUUGUGGUAGGGCUCGUGGAUGAGUACCUUAUUUAUGUUUUUGUUAAUUAUCUGUUUUUGUUUUCAAGUCCUAACAAGUGG
rnacentral:misc_RNA from 1 species